rnacentral:miRNA from 1 species
AUUAUCUGCAGCUGCAGAUGCAA